rnacentral:tRNA from 1 species
AGUAAAGUCAACUAAUUAAGCUUUCGGGCCCAUACCCCGAACAUGUAGGUUAAAGUCCUGCCUUUACUA